rnacentral:rRNA from 1 species
UACAGAGGGUGCGAGCGUUAAUCGGAAUUACUGGGCGUAAAGCGUGCGUAGACGGUAGCGUAAGUCAGAUGUGAAAGCCCCGGGCUCAACCUGGGAACUGCAUUUGAGACUGCUCUGCUCGGGUGCGGAAGAGGGAAGCGGAAUUUCCGGUGUAGCGGUGAAAUGCGUAGAUAUCGGAAGGAACACCAGUGGCGAAAGCGGCUCACUGGAUCUCUUCUGACGCUGAGGCACGAAAGCGUGGGGAGCAAACAGG